GAAAUGCGAUAAGUAAUGUGAAUUGCAGAAUUUCCGUGAGUCAUCGAAUCUUUGAACGCACAUUGCGCCCACUGGUAUUCCGGUGGGCAUGCCUGUUCGAGCGUCAUUUGUACCCUCAAGCUCUGCUUGGUGUUGGGUGUUUGUCCCGUCUCCGCGCGUGGACUCGCCCCAAAGUGAUUGGCAGCCGGCGUACUGGUCCCGGAGCGCAGCACAUGUCGCGCAAACGAGUGCCUUGGUACGGCGGCGUCCAUAAGCCCCUCUCUCACGCUCUUGACCUCGGAUCAGGUAGGGAUACCCGCUGAACUUAAGC
rnacentral:misc_RNA from 1 species